AUAGGGCCCGCCAUUUUACACCUUUCAUGACCCAAAAAUUCAGUAAACGUGAGUCGUUUGAACCGCACUUCGUCUCGAAACGUGAUGACGUUCAGUAGUGGUCUUUAAACAGAAGGAAUGAGUUCAACAAAAAACAGGACGAGAAGUGAGCGGGCGCGCCUAGACUUCCCAGUGGGACGGAUCCACCGUCAUCUACGGGAAGGAAACUACGCUCAGCGGAUUAGCUCGGAGGCACCAGUGUACAUGGCAGCGGUGUUGGAGUAUGUAGCUGCAGAAGUCCUGGAGUUGGCCGGAUUCGCUGCCAAGGAAAAUAGGAAGAAGACGUAAACCGCCUAAUCAUCCCCCGGCACAUCCAACUCGCAAUCCGAAAGGAUGACGAGUUGAAUGAACUUUUGCGGGAUGUGAUUAUUCCCCAAGGUGGGGUGGUGCCCACUGUUCCGGCUCCCCUCCCGCCGAAGAACACACGGGCUCGUGCUGCGAAAACCAGCAGACGCGAGCCAUCUCCGGAAUUUUAAAAAGACAUUCCAGGAUAAUAAUUAAAUUAAAGUAUUUAUGUUAUUUAACGACCGACUGAUUAAUUUAUGUGGUGCAAGUCAUAAUUUAUUUGAUUAAUGUUCUAUUUGAUAAAAAUUGUAAUUUAACUCUAAUAUUUGACAUUAUCCGGUCGUCGCACCUCGUUAGUUAUGUAAUAGUGUGAUAAACUUGUUAAUAAAUAUCAUAAAUAAAUAUGUUUUCUGAUAAUUGUUUGGUCUAUUUACUGA